rnacentral:rRNA from 1 species
UGGGGAAUUUUGACGAAUGGGCGAAAGGCCUGAUCCAGCAAUGCCGCGUGUGUGAAGAAGGCCUUCGGGUUGUAAAGCACUUUUGUCCGGAAAGAAAUCCUUGGCUCUAAUACAGUCGGGGGAUGACGGUACCGGAAGAAUAAGCACCGGCUAACUACGUGCCAGCAGCCGCGGUAAUACGUAGGGUGCAAGCGUUAAUCGGAAUUACUGGGCGUAAAGCGUGCGCAGGCGGUUUGCUAAGGCCGAUGUGAAAUCCCCGGGCUCAACCUGGGAACUGCAUUGGUGACUGGCAGGCUAGAGUAUGGCAGAGGGGGGUAGAAUUCCACGUGUAGCAGUGAAAUGCGUAGAGAUGUGGAGGAAUACCGAUGGCGAAGGCAGCCCCCUGGGCCAAUACUGACGCUCAUGCACGAAAGCGUGGGGAGCAAAACAGGAUUAGAUACCCUGGUAGUCCACGCCCUAAACGAUGUCAACUAGUUGUUGGGGAUUCAUUUCCUUAGUAACGUAGCUAACGCGUGAAGUUGACCGCCUGGGGAGUACGGUCGCAAGAUUAAAACUCAAAGGAAUUGACGGGGUCAUAGCUGUUUCCU